ACAAUGGAGAGUUUGAUCCUGGCUCAGGAUGAACGCUAGCGGCAGGCCUAAUACAUGCAAGUCGAGCGGUAGAGAUACUUUCGGGUAUUUUGAGAGCGGCGCACGGGUGCGUAACACGUAUGCAACCUACCUUAUACAGGGGGAUAGCCCGGAGAAAUCCGGAUUAAUACCCCAUGGUAUCAUUGCUCUGCAUGGAAUGAUGAUUAAAGAUUUAUCGGUAUAAGAUGGGCAUGCGUCUGAUUAGCUGGUUGGUGGGGUAACGGCUCACCAAGGCGACGAUCAGUAGGGGUUCUGAG
rfam:Algoriphagus marincola HL-49 ITZ_scaf_1530, whole genome shotgun sequence.